GCGGGAUGAUAGCAGAGGUAGCUAGGCAGGCUCAUAACCUGAAGGUCGUCGGUUCGAAUCCGACUCCCGUUACUA
rnacentral:tRNA from 1 species